UGUGGGUGAAAAGAGCGCGAUGGGGCACUGUUUUAAGUGGCAGACUUAAAACACGGUCACAGUGACUCCUGGCGCCUGUGCAGCUCCACUGGACAACACCUCGCCAGUCGCAUGGCACACCCGUUAACCAGCAGACGAUGGACUACACGCAACAUCUAGAUCAUGGUUUCUCUGCUUGCUUUAUACAACUGCAGCAAACACCAGCAGUUACAUGUGGAACAAAACCAAAUCACCCUGCAUUGAUUUCUCUACACCUUGCAUGCUGAUUUCUAGAAUAACUUUGAGUGAAUUUGCAAGACUGCUGCCACUGAGUGGACAGCUCAGUAGCAACCAAAGGCACAUUUUGAAAAAAGAUCCACCAAACUGGAUGGCAUUGUAGGAUGCUUUCAGCCUAAGCAACAGAGGGCAACAUGUUAGCC